ACGGUCGGUACGGUACGGUCCAUGUGUCGUCAUGGUAACAGCCCUCGGAUGGAACACCCCCUCUGACCCCGAUUCCUCGUGCGCCGUCCGGUGAGGAGUCGUGCAUCACACGCGACAAACCGAAGACGGAGAUAGAAAGGAGGAAGAGGCGCAACGAAGGAGGAUUUUUUUCUAUUUCAGAGCACUGGGAAGGACUGAGGAAUCCAUAUUCUUAAAAUGCUGCUGGCCGUGUAUCAUCACAUCAUACGCUGGAGGUCUGCGCUUCGCCUGAUCUGCUCCCCCAGAUCUUGGGGCUGAUGAGAGCGUCUGCAGAAGACCCUCCCUGCAAAUCAGAGCUUGCGGGGCUGAUCCAUCCAGACCGAUCGGUGCUGCUGUGAUCUGCAGGAACGCCACAUCAUCUUCGUCAUCCUCGUCCUCCAGUCACGCGCAUCUCUCCCUCGCCGCUGUCUGACGGCCGCCGUUUCGCGGCUGUGGUGUAAACAGGAAGUGAUGUUGGCACUGGGAGACUGAGAGCGAGCGAGAGGCUAAAGAGAGAGAGCGAGCGAGAGAGCGUCUUCAGAGGCAAGCUUCGCGUUUCCUUCCCUCCCUCCUCUUCCUCUGAACUCGACGCCCUCCCUGGAAGCCAUCCAUGUUCAGAUGACCCCCUCGCCAGCCCCCCAGGCGUAGACACCCCCCUCCUCCUCCUCCCCCCCCCCCCCCCCCUCCCUCC